CUCUGCUUCGUUUCUCCUUAUUAUACUUUCUUAUUUCUUCUUCUAUUCGAUUUUGGCGCCAAGAAGAAGGGGAUACUGUGAAACCCUAACCUAACCAUGCCGCAGAGCAGAGGUUCUUCAGAGGCCAAAAAAUCGACACUUGAGGCGCUCCAACCCCCACGUUCGAAUGGUAUUUAUGUGAUGAGUUGAGGUCUUGUUCUUGUGGGCUAUCUGAUCUGGUUUCCUUUUAAAAUCAUCUGCCAGUUUGUCAUUUCGAUCAGUCAAGAGAUAUAUGGCUUGCCCUUGUUUGUGAAUAAUAACUGAAGUUGUAACUCGUGCACACAAUCAUCGAAUUAAACUACUUAAUUGAAUGAAAAUUUUAUUUUCAGUUUUAGGGAAGUUAUAUUUGUUUUAGUUGAUAAAGUACUGAUUCGAUUUUAACAUUUCAAAAAUAGUUGUAUCCAUACAGAAAAUUUGAGGGAGAAGAAUGUGUAGUUAUUACUUUUAAUGUCUAUUUUUACAUAAAGGAUUAAAUAGAAUAAAAAAAGGAUAUUUCAAUAUGUACUUGCUAUUGUAAAUGAAUGUGAGGGGAGGCUUUGCUGUACGUCAAUAUUUCAAAAUAGCUUGUUGAACUAUUGGUAUCAGAUUCCAAAGUAAUAGUGGAUAGGCUACAUCAAGAUGAGGAAGAUAUAUCAGAAUGUGGCUUGAUUAAUCGGCAGAAUAGGAACGUGCUCAAGAAUUACCGUUCUUUCUUAUUGUCGGAGGCUUGAAUGAGAACAACCCUGCUGAGAAUACCUG
rnacentral:sRNA from 1 species